AUGACACUGCACUCCAGCCCAGGUAAUGGAGAGAGACACUGUCUCUAAAAAAAGUUUAAAGAUGUAAAACGAUAUCAAAGUACAUAAUACAAAGGACAUAACUUAAAAUGUUGAAAGUGGUAACAAGAUUUAUAAAUGAAACAGAGUCACCUGUACCACUCUCUAUUCCUACUUUGAGGGACAAACACUUUCAACUGAUUCUUUUCCUGGUAUUUUCCUUCACUUUUCUGUGUCCCUGGUUCUCAAAGUGGGGUCUCUAGAAUUUGGGAGAAAUGCAAAUUCUUAGACCCCACCCCAGAUAUACCGAAUCAGACUAUGAGGGUGGAGCCCAGCAGCCAAUGUUUAAACAAACCUGUCUCCAGAGAUUCUGCCUCACGACCCCCCAAAGUUCUGACUGUUCUGGGUGAGGUGUUUAUACAAUGACUUCCUCCUAUGGACUGUGAAGGCUUACCUUUCUUCCACCCUCUCCCCAGCCCCACAAUCCUGCCUUCUUAUCUUUUCAGCACAGCUAUAUGACCAAUUUUGAUGAUGUUAAAAUUCAGUGUUUGUUGUAAUUAUGUAAAUAUUUUCACAACUAUCAGUAUAUUUCAUGUUUUAUGUAACUUUUAUUUUCCCUGGACUGAAUAACUGCCUCAUUUUUUUGUUGUCGUGAUGGCUUAGUGGGUUUGUUGUUGUUGUUUUUUAGAAACGAAGUCUCAGUAUGUUGCCCAAGCUGGUCUUGAACUCCCGGUCUUAAGCGAUCUCCUUGCCUCAGCCUCCCGAGUACUUCUCAGUUUUCUAUACAAAUCUCUCAUCUAUCCCUAACCUCUCAGUGGAGAAACUCCAAGAUGAACCCCAAAGAUCUCCAUCUCCAGCUGUUCACACUCCUAUGUAAUCUCUAGCCCUUGGGUGUGGAAAGGACUUGUGACUUACUUUAACCAACAACAGAAUAUAGCAAAGAUGCCUAAGAACUGCAAAUGAGAAAUAAUUUUCUCACCUGGUCACAGCAUCUACCAAGAAUGGCGCUGGGGGAGAGAUCAGUGAG
rnacentral:lncRNA from 1 species